ensembl:rRNA 5S_rRNA 5S ribosomal RNA
GUUGAGGGCAAUACCACCCAGAUCCUGGUAGCUAAGCAGGGUCGGGCCUGGCCAGUACUUGGAUGGAAAACAACCUGAGAAUACUGGAUGCUGUAGGUU